rnacentral:rRNA from 1 species
AGUGAACGCUGGCGGCGUGCUUAACAUAUGCAAGUCGAACGAGAACGGAAUAUAGCUUGCUAUAUUUGUCAGCUAAGUGGCGCACGGGUGCGUAAUGUAUAGAUAACCUGCCCUUAAGAAAGGGAUAACAGUUGGAAACGACUGCUAAUGCCCUAUAUGCCUUUAAUACAUAAGUAUGCAAGGGAAACGCUUUAGUGCUUAAGGAUGGGUCUGUAUGGUAUCAGCUUGUUGGUGAGGUAAUGGCUCGCCAAGGCUAUGACGCCUAACUGGUUUGAGAGGAUGAUCAGUCACACUGGAACUGAGACACGGUCCAGACUCCUACGGGAGGCAGCAGUGGGGAAUAUUGCACAAUGGACGAAAGUCUGAUGCAGCAACGCCGCGUGGAGGAUGACACACUUCGGUGCGUAAACUCCUUUUAUAUAGGAAGAUAAUGACGGUACUAUAUGAAUAAGCACCGGCUAACUCCGUGCCAGCAGCCGCGGUAA